AAUUGGACCUAUUUUGAAAACUUUCAUAACGUUUUGGGUCAUAAUACAAUUUUAUAAAGUUUUGGGGUCAAAUUGUAAUUUUGGAAUAUAGUUCACUGUAGCAGUUACUGUAGCAAGUGGCUAACUGGAUUUGACAAGCGGAAGACCGGAUUUUGGAUAGUAAGCUUCUGGAACAUAAACGGCUAUCCGAAUUUCAAAAGCAGCUAUUCGGAUAUGAAAAGCGGCAUGCCGGAUAUUCUGAAAUUCAAAUUUUUGUUGUAACGGUAAAAUAAAAGCGGCUAACCGAAUUCCAUAAACAGUAAGCCGGUUAAGCCGGUUAUCACCAAAAUGUGCAUAACGACUAGUUUUUGAGUUCAAACUAUAUAAACUCAAAUCCAAUUUAUUUUCAAACUCUCUCUAGCAAGUAAAAACAAAAAGCACAUAUCAUAUCUUCAGCUCUCAAUUCGUAAAUCAUUAUUCAUUGAAUCAUCUUUGUUCUUCAAUUUGUUCAUCUACUCUUUAAGUGAGUUUAUUCGAUUGUAAUUUUCAUUUCUUCAUCUUAAUUGUGAGUGUUUGAGUGUGUGAGACACUUGAAUGAAGAGAUUGAGAGAUAAUCUCUUUGUUGUAAAGGUUCAUUGGCACCUUGAAGUCAGUUGUAAACAUUUGAAGCCUUGAAAGGCUUGGAUAGUGAAAUGCUCAAGCUUGGAUCGCUUGGAGGCGUGGACGUAGGCGGGGAUUGUCGAACCACAUAAAAAAUUCGUGUGUUUGUUUCUCUUCUCUCUUACUCAUUUGUUAUUGUGCUUUUAUUGAACUUAUUGCUUUCGAAUUUAUUAAGGCGUUAGAUUGGAUUGUUGUGUGGUUUUGUUAGGAUAAUUUUUAAAAUACCAAUUUAUCCCCUUCUUGGAUUGCACACUUGUAUUUCAAUAGCCUCACGGCCCUCACCCUCACAUUCGCGACUUCACACACACACACACAUCGCAAAAGCUAAAAGCAAAGCAGCUGCCAACAACUAAUGCAGAGAAGACACGGACGAAGCGCAGCCCGCGCAUGCAGCCACCUAACCUGCUACCAGAUCUAUUCCUCUGCGACCCACGACCGGAUCUUCUACUGUUAGAUCUGCUGCUGUAAGAUCUGUUGCUGUUGGAUCUACUGCUUGCCAGAUCUACGGCUUGCUGGAUCUGCUGCUGUAGCCUCCACCAUCACCAAGUUCUUCUAGAACUGGAAACCCGA
rnacentral:lncRNA from 1 species